rnacentral:rRNA from 1 species
CCUACGGGAGGCAGCAGUGGGGAAUUUUCGGCAAUGGGGGCAACCCUGACCGAGCCAUGCCGCGUGCACGAUGAAGGCUUUUUGGUCGUAAAGUGCUGUGGAGAACAACUAAUAAAUGAAGUGUUCUCUAGAAAGAGGUUGCUAACUCUGUGCCAGCAGCAGCGGUGAUACAGAGACCUCAAGCGUUAUCCGGUUUUAUUGGGCGUAAAGCGUACCGAUCGGCGGUCAAGCGUGUCUGUAGUUAAAGACCGGAGCUCAACUCCGCGUAUGCUACAGAAACUGUUUGACUAGAGGAGUAAAGAGGUGACUGGAACUCUACAAGUAGGGGUAAAAUCCGUUGAUAUGUAGGGGAACGCCAAAAGCGAAGGCAGGUCACUAGGUACUUCCUGACGCUGCUAGGACGAAAGCACGGGGAGAGAACGGGAUUAGAUACCCCGGUAUUCCGUGCCCUAAACGAUGAGUGUUUACUAUUAGGAGGCUUCAAUCCCUCUUAGUGGUGUAGCUAACGCUUUAAACACUCCGCCUGUAUAGUACGGCCGCAAGGCUAAAACUUAAAGGAAUUGACGGA